AGCCUCUUUACAGUGCUGCCUUGUCUGAUCAUGUUCAAGCAGCAUUGUACAGGGCUAUGA
rnacentral:pre_miRNA from 1 species